GAUGAACGCUGGCGGCGUGCCUAAUACAUGCAAGUCGAGCGAACAGACGAGGAGCUUGCUCCUCUGACGUUAGCGGCGGACGGGUGAGUAACACGUGGAUAACCUACCUAUAAGACUGGGAUAACUUCGGGAAACCGGAGCUAAUACCGGAUAAUAUAUUUAACCGCAUGGUUCAAUAGUGAAAGACGGUUUUGCUGUAACUUAUAGAUGGAUCCGCGCCGCAUUAGCUAGUUGGUAAGGUAACGGCUUACCAAGGCAACGAUGCGUAGCCGACCUGAGAGGGUGAUCGGCCACACUGGAACUGAGACACGGUCCAGACUCCUACGGGAGGCAGCAGUAGGGAAUCUUCCGCAAUGGGCGAAAGCCUGACGGAGCAACGCCGCGUGAGUGAUGAAGGUCUUCGGAUCGUAAAACUCUGUUAUUAGGGAAGAACAAAUGUGUAAGUAACUAUGCACGUCUUGACGGUACCUAAUCAGAAAGCCACGGCUAACUACGUG
rnacentral:rRNA from 1 species